AUGACGGUCAUGUAUGUUUGGCAUUACGGCACACUCAAAAAGUACGAAUUCGAUGUUCAAAACAAGGUUUCCAUCAACUGGCUACUCGGCAUUGCUCCAAGCAUAGGUAUUGUACGAGUUCGUGGGGUCGGACUUAUACAUACAGACCUAGUAUCAGGCAUUCCUGUUAUCUUCUCCCACUUUGUGACCAACUUGCCAGCCUUCCAUCAGAUCCUAGUCUUUCUUUGCAUCAAACAUGUGCCGGUUCCGCAUGUCAGACCCGAGGAAAGGUUUCUAGUCGGCCGUGUUGGUCCGCGAAAUUUCAGAAUCUAUAGGUGCAUAGUGCGGUAUGGUUACCGCGACAUCCACAAAGAUGAUAUCGAAUUUGAAAAUGACCUUUUAUGCAGCAUAGCCGAGUUUAUUCGCACAGGAAGCUUUGGACUAUCUUCAAACGAGGAGCUCGAAAAAAUUGAAAAAAUGACAGUUGUUGGGACAUAUUCUGCACAAACUAUUUUGAGGAACGACAAUAAUAUGGAUAAUAAUUUCGACUCAGAAGAAACGUCGUCCGAGCUUAAGGAGAUAAAGUCACCUCAAGUGAUUCAACAGAAGAAAAAGGUAAGGUUUUUGGUACCGGAGAGUCCAAAAAUAGACUCAGAAGCAAAAGAAGAAUUAGAGGAAGUGAUGGAAGCAAGAGAAGCUGGAAUAGCUUACAUUAUAGGACAUUCAUACAUGAAGGCUAAACCAGGGUCUAGUACUAUAAAGAAAAUAGCUAUUAAUUUUGUUUAUGAAUUUCUAAGGAGGAAUAGUAGAGCACCUUCAUUUGUACUUGGUGUACCUCAUGCAUCAUCUUUAGAAGUUGGUAUGAUGUACCAAGUUUAAAUUUUGGUUUAAAAAAUGAUAGAGUUAUUAUCAAUGUACAUAUUUUUAUUGUUAUAUAGUUUAGUUAAAAGGCCACACACCAUGUCAAGUGGUGGUAGAUAGAUAGUAGUGUACAAGUUUUUCCCUUCUUUAUUACGGUUAUACCUUAUCACUUACAAUUCAUUUGGCAUUUUUUUUGAACAAAAUUCAUUUGGCAUUUUGUUUUUUCAUUAAGCCAAUAGUAAUUUAUAUCUCAGUUGUUUAUAUGCUCUCUCAGUUUGGCUGAGUGUUUAUUUAUACUUUUGUUGGACAAAACAUGAUGUUGCAUGAGAAAUCUGUUUUAAGGACAAAACAUGAUGUUGCGUUUGUCUCUGCACGUUUGAGGUGUGACCUAUAUUUACAUCCACAUUAUCACAUGCAUGUACUGUAUGUAUGCUUUAGGCAUAUAACUUAAAUAACAAGUGCAAUGUGUUUGAUUGGGCAGUUUUCGAUUUGUGAUCGGCGCUUGUAAAGAGUAUCCUUUGUAGAAUGUCCUUGUGAUCGGUGCUAUAUAUACUUGUCUCGUCUUUGUUCAUCAUUCGCAUCCAACUUUAGCGUUUUCAAAAUUGUUUCACUUGCUUUUCGGUUUUCGGAUAAAAUGGCUGAUGCCUUUGAUUCUCUAUGCGACACCGUGUCUGGUAAGGAUUCUUGGUGGUUCUGAAGGCUGAUCAGAUAAAUUCUCUUGAAAUGGUGCUCAUCGAUGACAUGGUUUGUUUCAAAUUUCUUGAAAUUCAGGUUCAAUGUGUAGAUAUUUGAGUUAGGCCAUAGUUGUCCUUAUUAUGUUCUGCAUUUGCUAUAUAUAUAUAUGUAUAUAUAUAUAUAUGGCUUUUUAAGCGCAUCCAUUAGUUCUUCUUUCUGGUUGAUCUAUUUUUGUUGCAGUGGAAUUUCGUAUUCGACCUAUUUGUGCACACACCGAGUUUAUUUUGCCUAAUAAUCAAUGAUCAUCCCUUUCGUGAUAGUUUUGUGNNNNNNNNNNNNNNNNNNNNNNNNNNNNNNNNNNNNNNNNNNNNNNNNNNNNNNNNNNNNNNNNNNNNNNNNNNNNNNNNNNNNNNNNNNNNNNNNNNNNUCGUAUUCGACCUAUUUGUGCACACACCGAGUUUAUUUUGCCUAAUAAUCAAUGAUCAUCCCUUUCGUGAUAGUUUUGUGGAACUCCACCUAUUAAUCAUGAUAAUCAUAUUGGUGCAAAUAUUUGACUUUAAUUUUUUUUUAAGAAGCUAAAUUAUUCCACCUAGUUCUCGUGAGCUUAACUCGGUUGGUAGGGAGAAAUAUUACACUAUAUGUGCAGGAGUUGAGAUUCGAACCCCGGACACUCCCCUUAUUCACCUAUAAAUUUUUUAGCCACUACGCUACUUGACCAAAAAUAUUAAAUGACCCAAAUUGACACAAGAAAUAAUCGAACAAGAGACCUUAAAGAUGAGUCACUCCCAGGUCCCAAGCAAAUACAGACCAACCUGGAUGAGUUUUAUUUGACUUUAAUUAUAACUACUUUUUAUUUUUUGAAGGUAUGCCUAUGAGUGGUUAAUAAUACUCCACACUAAAUCGGAGUAAUUCAUAUAAUAAUAAUAAUAAUAAUAAUGAUUUUACUAUCAUGUGCAAAUUUGCAUAUAGGAAGAAAUUGAAAACCGUUUGUAUUGGAAUUUGUAUAUUUUAUAUUAAAUAUAUAACUUUUAAAUUAAUAAUUAUUAUUUUUUAUAUAUUUUAAUUAAUUAUUAUUAUUUUUUAUAUAAAAAGUUACUACAUGUAGUUGCUUUAACAUGUCCAAUAAUAUUGCACAUGUUAGACAAACCUAAUAAUAAUAAUAAGGUUUAAAUAUGUUGUUAGACUAUAUCAAAAAAUAUAGUAUAUGUUAUUGGUCUUGUAUCACAUUUUCAUAUUAAUCCCUAUAGUUUUUUUUUAUUUGGUUUGAGUUCCCACACUUUCAAAAGUUUUGGUUUUAGUCCCUACUAUUGGUGUGGUGUUAAAAAAAUAAAUGAAGACACGUUUCAUAAGUUUUUUUUUUAUCUGCUUACAUCUAAAACUUAAUUAUGAUGUCGAAAUUUCUCAUACUUGUGUAAUAGUAUUUUUUUCCUUCAAAAUUGCAAGUACGUAAACUCAUUUACCAGGGACAAAUUUAACACUAUGUAAAAUCAAUUCACUUCCUCCUGCGUGAAUUCAUUUCAUGGACAUGAUUUUAGUAAAUAAAAAAAAUCGUGAAAUUAGAUGCAAGUAUUUUAUGUGCAAUUGGGUUGCAUGUGGUGAAAAAAUUAUUUUUCAAAGAAUUUAAUUUAUAUAUAUAGUUGGUGUAAAAUUAUUUUACACAUGCGUUCAAUAAUAUACCGACACAUCACGUAUGAUAUUUAAAAACAACAUGGUGUGUCACAUUCAUUAAAUGAUGUGACGAAGCAUCAUUGAAUGUAUGUGUAAGAAAUCUUUACACUGACGGUGCACAACAAUUAAACUCAUUUUCAAAUUCAGGGUGUAACCAAAAGUAUUUGAAUUUUUCUCUUUCCACCCCCCAAUGUUUCUUCCAAGCCCCUUGAAAUUCCAAUUUUACCCUUAUAAAUAGUUUUUAGAAAAGGUUUUCCAAAAUUUAUAUUUUUUUGGAAUCAAUUUUUCAAAAUAGACUUAAAUGUAAUUUUUAGAUCUAUUUAUUUCCAUUCACAUUCAAUUGUUUCAUAUUCUAUUUUUCAAAAAGUUAACUAUUUCGGAAAAAAUUUCCAAAAUUCAAAUAUUUUGGAACGCAGAAUCCAAAUUUUUUUUGGAAAACAUUUUCCAAAGUGAUUUUGGAAAACGUUUUCGGAAAUCCUGUUAUCUGUGAUCAAAACUGCAAAUGUGCUGCUCUAACCUAAAUUUUCGUCGGUCUAAAUCAUUUUUUAUUCUAUUUUUAACACUAAUCUGUAUCCAAAAUAUAAUUGUGUUGAUGAAUGAGAGUUAUGCACACUUGCAGACGGGCAUAUAAUGUUUUGCAGCAAACCUGAAUUAAUUAAACAAAAUAAUUAACAUAUGAGAAGCUUGCGAAAGAUAGAUAAAAUUUGAUAAAUAUUUUGACUAAAAAGUGAUUGAGACCGAUGAAAAAUAAAGUUAGAAAAUAAAGUCACCUCAAGUGAUUCAACAGAAAGAAAAAAAAAAGGGUAAGGUUUUUGGUACCGGAGAGUCCAAAAAUAGACUCAGAAGCAAAAGAAGAAUUAGAGGAAGUGAUGGAAGCAAGAGAAGCUGGAAUAGCUUACAUUAUAGGACAUUCAUACAUGAAGGCUAAACCAGGGUCUAGUACUAACUAUUAAUUUUGUGUAUCAUUUGUGUCACAUUUUCUUUUCAAAUACUCCAUUUGGUAGUUGAGUGAGUCAUGAUAGACUUAUAAGUCAAGGGUCUCAUGGAUUCAAAUCCCACUAAGGUUCUUUUUAUUUGAUUAUUUUCAUGUCAUUUUUUUUUAUUGUUUUUAUGUAAAAUAAUAAAAAAAUCCAAAAAAUAUGUCAUGUAAGUUUUUAUAUUUAUUCAGAAAAUCCAAAAAAGAUGUUAAUUAAUACAAGCAUAAUUUUUUUUUGUCAAGUAGUCUAAUAUUUCACUAUUAAGAUAAAUAAGUGAAGUGUCCGAAAUUCAANNNNNNNNNNNNNNNNNNNNNNNNNNNNNNNNNNNNNNNNNNNNNNNNNNNNAUUAAGUAAGUUUUUAUUUUAAUGACCAUUUUUUUCCCGAGGGGUGCUAUAUGACACGACACUCUCCCGGCACGAAAUUGCACGACCUGCACAAAGUCUAUGCAAUAUACUCACUUUUUUUAUUUAUUUACAAUGAGCUGGAGAUCGAACUCACGACCUAUGACGUACUACCCAAACUCUUUACCACUAGACCAAACCUAGUGACUUAAUAUACUCAUCUAAUAAGCUUAAUGCUGGUUUAUCUGAUUAAAAAAUAAAUAACAAACUAAACAUUGUUAAUAUACCACCAUCACCGUUAUUAGAUACAGUUAAAAUCAAUGUUUUCUAAGUAUGGAGUAGAGGUCAAAUACUAAAACUCUUUAACCGCAAGAAGAUACACUUAUCAAAGCAUCACUUACUUGGAAAAUAAAUCAUGAGCUAGCUAGGAUUAAUUUGUAGUGUAGAACCAUUAGAAAAAUAAUCAUUUUAAUUCAAAUCAAAUCAAAUAAGAGAAACAAAUAGAAUAGUAUAGAAAACACUUCCUUUUUCCUUUUAUCAUCAUUAUUAUUAUCAGAACAGAAAAAAGGAAAAGAUCAAACAACGACAAGAGCAAAGCGUGCCUCUUCUUCCUGAUUUUGUCAGUUCCACUUUUUCCAAACAAGGCUUUAACCUUCACCAAUUUUACACUACAAAGAAAAGCACACAUCACUUUUUUUCUUCUUUUGCUUUUGCAAUCCCAUUUUUUCUUCCAAAACACAAAAAUCCAAUUCACCAUUAUCCAAUAAGUACAAGAAUUCAUCAUCAAUCAACUCUAUAAAUCAGAGCCAAAACAAUCAAUCAAAAAGAAGGAACUGCAAGCACUGGUGCUGCUCCUAUCCCUCCCCGUUUUUCAGCUUUCUUUUUCCAAAAUUAAGCCAUAAUCUUCACCAACAAUACAAGCAAUCAAAAAGCUUCAAUCACCCACCUUUUAUCUUUGCAAUACCAAUUUUUCUUCCAAAGCACCACCAUCUUUAUCUUCAAUCUUCUACCUUCAAUAAUCAUAACCAACAUCUUUAUCUUCACCACUUUCAAGUUUCAAACCACUCCCAAAUCACCAUUAACAACCUCUAAUCCAACAUUCAAACCAAAAAGAAACAGAACAAAGAAAAAUCAAAUAAAACUUCCAUCUUUCACCCCACGUCUACCAACCUAAAAUCCAUUCAAACCACCUUCUGAAAAUCACAAUACCAACCACUGUAACAACAAUCAACACCACCGGUUUCUAUCAUUUUGAACCAAGGAGGAAUUUUUCUUUAGCCGCAGGUCAAUUUUCUUUCUCUGCAUCGUGUUUAUUUUCUUAUUGUUUUAAGUUUUUUUAUUAUCAUUAAUUUUGUUUACUUAUUUAUGUUAGUGGGACUAAUGGCUGAUUUGUAGUUUUGGGCCUUAACCCAUUUAGUUUACUUGCACCCCCUUUUAAUUUACUUCUUCUUUUUUUUUUGACAACAAAAAAAAAAUAUAGAAAAACAAAGAACAAGAACACAAAAAGAUUACUUAUUUAUGUUAGUGAAGAAGAACAAGAACAACAUCGUUUUUGUUUGAUUCUUUUUGUUUUGUUCAACAUAUCCAAGUUGUGUGUAGAAUAGAAAAGUUCUGUCUCACUUCAUGCUUCUUUUCAUAUGGCAUUUUGGAUCUCAAAUGUGAUUCUCAAAGAUUGCAAGGAAGAAAGAUUUAGCAUUAGCAAAGCCUCAAGUUACAUGUGUAUCAUCAUAUCUUCAUUUUUUUUGUGAUUCUUCUUUUCCCUCCUCAAUAAUGCAUGGCAUUUAGAAUUAUUUGAUUGUUCUUUGUUUUUUCUUUUAGUUCCCUAUUUUUUUUCCCUAUGUUUCAAUGGGAUGGGUGCUUUUUUAUAUCAUAUUGGUUAUUACCAUUCUAAUCUAAUCAGCCCACAUUUUUGUUUUAUCAACACCCACUAAAAGUAUAUAAAUUUUUAUAAUUUUUGUCUUCAGAUAAAUGAUUGUUAUGUUGUCAAAGGGGUACUUAAAUUAUUUUACAUGUUUUGUUAUUGGAAGAUCAUUGAAAUUGUUAUUUUGCAGAUUUAUGGACCAAGUGUUGUGGUUGUGGUUAAAAAGUCUACAACGUAUGCUCAAUAUUAAGUCUUCAAAUGCCAGCAGCUGAAAUUUUUCAGUUUGAAGGAGUCAUUUUUAAUGAUUAGACUGGUUAACGAAGGCGUGGGUUAAAGGUAAUGUUUUCCUAAGAGUUUACUUUCAGCAUUUUUUUUUCUAUCUCAAAACAUUUAACCCCUCACUUACCCAACCACCCACAGAGAUUCACCACUUCUAUUUCAGAUCGGACGGUCUAGGUGAGUAACUGCGUGACGCAGUUAUGGCACCAAAUCCAUUUCCGCCACGACUGUUGUAGAAAACAACACAGUUUUCACACAGUAGUUAAUCUGAGCCGUUGAUCAUAGAUCANNNNNNNNNNAAGUUAUAUAUGAUAAAAUCAAUUAAAAAUCACUGUGUCCAUCUAUUUCAGAUCGGACGGUCCAGGUGAGUAACUGCAUGACGCGGUUACCGUACCAAAUCCAUUUCCGCCACGACUGUUGUAGAAAACAACACCGUUUUCACACAGUAGUUAAUCUGAGCCGUUGUUCAUAGAUUAGACGGUCAAAGUUAUAUAUGAUCAAAUCAAUUAAAAAUCACCGUGUCCAUCUAUUCAGAUCGGACGGUCCAGGUGAGUAACUGUGUGACGCGGUUACUGUACCAAAUCCAUUUCCGCCACGAUUGCCGUAGAAAACAACACAGUUUUCAUGCAAUAGUUAAUCUGAGCCGUUGAUCAUAGAUCAAACAGUCAAAAUUAUAUACUCUCUCCGGUCCUUUUAAUAUAAGAGAGAUUUCACUUUUUAGAUUUAUUAAGAAUCUAAUAUAUCUAGUUCAUACACCCCUUUCUCUCCGUAAAAUGCAUUUAAUCUCUAAAAUUGCUUUGGAUCUAUUCUUGCCUUCUUGUUCUUCUUCAUUAGUCUUCUCUCUCAUGUAAGUAUCGUCAAACCAGUUAGAUCUAGCUCCACAAAAUUUGAAAGAAAUUAUUGUAUGCCUUUGAUUGAGACCACCACAGGCAAAGUGACAGAGAAGCUUGUAGCGACGGCGGUUGUGCUAUGUGGAUGUGUUAUUAUACCCUUUAUUUAUUUUUUCAGAUUUACCAUUUCUGGUAUUGUUGAAACUUCAUUUUUACAGAUUUUCCUUCUUCCUCCUUUUCUACCAAUUUCUGCAACUUUUAUUAUAUUUUAAUGAUAAGCAACAACAGCUCCAAGGUUGCAUUCUGAAACAACUGAUAGGAAAAAAUAAGCAACACAGACCUCCACGUAGGUAAGCAACAACAAGCUCCAAUGCUUAAAAGUUAAGGUAUAGAACUUGGGCCUCCACGUAGGUAAGCAACAACAAGCUCCAAUGCUUAAAAGUUAAGGUAUAGAACUUGGGCCUCCACGUAAUCACUAAGGAACCUGCGUUGGAGCUGUUCUUAUACUCUUACAGUUUUUUUAGGGUGCCGAUCAUGGACAGUGCUGAUUGAAGAAAACGAGAAUAAGUUCACGACACUAGAAAAAUUAUUUAAAAUUUAAAUAAAAUUAAUAAUCAGGAAUAAGUGGGUCCGCCCCUUAAAGGCCCUUUUUACAGCUCUACUCUUACUACAUAUGUUACACAUCUUGGGUUCUUUCUCUAAGUUGAACUAACGUCUGUUUUAAGGACACAACCUUAGCCGUUCAUCUAACAAUCUACUGUUCUACAAGAACGGAAGUUUAAGAAUCUAAAGUUUAUGAAUCUAGUAGUAGAAAAAUUAAGACAAUCUGAUUAAUAUUACUAGAAGUCUGUAGCUAUGCACAUAAGCUACUUAAAAACUCUUGCCAAGAAUUCACUAAGUUCUCCAUAUUUCUUCCUCAAGCUAUAUGUUAAUUCUCCGCCAAAUUUAAAUUUCUCUUUUGUUUGUUUCUAAAUUCCACUCCGCGAUUGUUAAUUCCGAAAUUUGGUGUCGUCGUCUCUUUACGCGCCAUGAAAUAAAAAUUGGUUAUGGUUUUCACAAUGUCUGAAAUGUGUUCCAUUUCUAUUUGGAAUCCAAUUCUAUUGGAUUUUUGCCAUUCUCCACCCAAUUUAAUUUCAUUAUGAAACCUGCAAAAAAUUUGUAAUAGAUGAAAUAAUUAGUUUAUGGUUCAUUGCAUAACUAUCUAAAAUUUUAUUCGUUAAUUACUUACACAUUAACAGCCAAAUUUAAGAAACCGCAAUCAAUUUUAAAUUUUCCAUGGAUAGUAAUUGACCAUCUAAUGCAUCCGACGCUUAGGUGCGUAUUACAUUCCAAUCGCUCCACAACUCGUAAACCCCCCAAAAUUGUCAAUUAUCUCCCACCAAGUUCAAUGAUACCCUUCAUCACUUUGUUCACCGGGAUGUCCAAAUGCAUAUAUGUCAAUGGUGAUGAGGGAACUUCCACCUUGUAGUUAAAUUCUUGCAUCUCGUAUUAGAAACAGUUAAAUCUAGAUGUCAAACAUCAAGUAAAAUAAAAGUUUAUUUUACUUGAUGUUUCACAUCUAGAUUUAACUGUUUUUAAUACGAGAUGCAAGAAUUUAACUUCAAGGUGGAAGUUCCCUAGUCACCAUUGCCACCUAUGCAUUUGGAUCCGAUGAACGUAGUGAUGAAAGGUAUCAUUGAGCUUGGUGGGAGUUCAUUGAUAAUUUCAUGGGGUUUAUGAACUGGGGAGUGAUUGAAAUGCAAUAUGCAUUUACGUGUCGGAUGCAUUGGAUGACCGAUUACUAUCGGUGGGGAAUUGAAAUUCGAUUGCGGUUUCUUAAAUGCGGCUAUUAAUGUGUAAGUAAUUAAUGUAUAAAAUUUUAGAUUGUUAUGCAAUGAACCAUAAACUAUUUAUUUCAUCUAUUACAACUUUGUGCAGGUUUCAUAAUGAAAUUAAAAUGGGUGGAGAAUGGCAAAAAUCCAAUAGAAUUGGAUUCCAAAUAGAAAUGGAACACAUUUCAGGCAUUUGGAAAACCAUAACCAAUUUUUAUUUCAUGGCGCGUAAAGAGACGACGACACCAAAUAUCGGAAUUAACAAUCGCGGAUAGUUAACAAUGGAAUUUAGAAACAAACUAGAGGAGAAAUUCAAAUUUGGCGGAGGAUUAACAUUGAGGAAAAAUAUGGAGAACUAAAGUGGACCAUUGACAAGAGUUUUUGAGUAGCUUAUGUGUAUAACUACAUACUUUUAUUUAGUACUAUUAAUCUAGAUUGUGUUGCUUUUUUCUACUAUUAGAUUCUUAAACUUCUGUUCAUGUAGAACAAUAGAUUGUUAGAUGAAUUCAUAUAAAAUUACGAGUUAGUACUAUUAAUCUAGAUUUUGUUACUUUUAUCUACUAUUAGAUUCUUAAACAUCUGUUCUUGUAGAACAGUAAAUUGUUAGAUGAAUUCAUAUAAAGUUAUGAUGAUUGUUAUGUAAAUGGAUUAAAUUCAUGACAUUUUCACUGGUUUAAUCAUACAACAAUUAAACCAUAUACAUUUAAACUAAUGUAAUCAUAAAUUUACAUAGCAAUUAAGCAUUUACAUUUUUGUCCACCAAAAGGAAAUUUAGAUUUCCAGCAGUUUUGUUGCCUUUUGCCGUUGCUUCCAUUUAUAAACAUGGAUUGAAUUUCUUAAUUCUCACUUUCAAUCCAACUUAAUUUUCACUGUUUCCCCUAGUGUAGCGACUGGAAUCAUCUGAGUUAACAUUUGGGGCUACAAAAUCCAGUCCAAACCUCUGAUUUAUUAAAUUGAUUGUGAAAUAUUAUAAUAAUUACAUAAAUUUAAAAUCAAAGUUAAAAAAUUAUCCAUUUUUUAAAGGCUUAAAUAUGUUGUUGGUCCCUGCAGUUGUAACUCAUUUUGAUAUUGGUCCUGUAAUUUUUUUUUUGUUUGAUUUAAGACCUUGCACUUUGAAUAAAAUUGGUUUUAGUUCUGGUUGUUAGUUUGACUGUUACAAAAAUGGAAGAGACUAACGGAGUGCCAUGUGGCAUAAUCAUUUUAUGCCACGUGGCAUAGUCAAAGUCAUACCUAUAUAUUGUUUUUAAAUUUGUUUUAAUAUAUUAUAUUAUUAAUUAAUAAACAUUAAGUAGAUUUUUUUUAAAGAAAAUCAGCAUCACCACAACAUCUCUUCAAACGCAGAAGUCUUCAUCAUCAUCCUGUUAAAUUACCACCAUGUCUUCAUCUUCUACCUCUGAAUUUCACCACCAUCAUCACCAUAUUUUCAUCUUUAUCUUUUCAAUCAAAUAAAAUAAAAGAACAAAGUGGCACAAAGGACAAACAACAAAGAGCACUCUGCCGCUUCCCACUAUGAAACAAACAACAUGAUUACAAGCAGUCACAGAGAGAGUGAUCGUUGCACGAACUCGAACACUAGUUGCAAAAUGCUGACGUGAUUUAGGACCCAGAUUUUGGGUUUAUGGUCUCACUGGUCUAGAUUUCAAUUAUUACGCUUGAACCUGUAAAAAGUUUUGUUAGAAUUUUGACAAAUCUUAUACGCAAAUUAACCUACAAUAACAUGAUGUGAACAAGCUUGUAUUCAAGCUACAAGGUGUCGGAGUCAGACUAUUAUAUUGGGGUAAUAAACAAGCCAGCAUUUUAACAUUCAUUAUGAGAAGAAAAAAUUAAAACCUGAAAAUCAUUCAGUUCAGCAUCACUAAGAGCACCAUCUCUGUCACGGUCAUAAAGGAUAAAAAUCUGCUUCAAAGCCCGCGCAUAUCGAAGUUUUAGAGUUUUUGAAUCCUUAUCUACUAAAGGAGCGGUGGGAUAAAGAGUAGCCUUUUGUGCUAAGAAGAAAACAUCAGAGACCUUCAACAAGGAAAUUUAAUUACAAUUGUAUGAAACAAAAUCCAAAUAUAAUUGUAGCAAUGACCUUUAAAAUAAGAUUUCAAAAAACAGGAAUUUGAUUGCAAUAGUAUGUAUAAAUAAUAAAAAAAUACCUGGAUACUACUAUAUGCUGAACACUGAAUGCAUGCUUCAAUCUCACAGAACUGCUGCAUUAGUUGUGACAUCAUCUGUUCUAGACUCACUUGCUGAUUUUCAUCUUGCAGAUCAAGCUUACAACCAACCACUAUAACCGGAACUUUGACCUGUUCACGAAGUUACUUAAAAUAUAUCUAUCUAUCUAUAUCUAUCUAUCUAUCUAUCUAUGUCAAACAUACUUACAUUCUCUAAAAAGAAAGUUGAGAUGCAAAAACAAGUAUCUUUAAUGCAGAACAAAUUGUGGUUAGAUGUUGAAGUGUUUCAGGCUGAUCACACGCAUAAGUGAGGACUACUGAGUCAGCCUGCUUUAGUUCAUCAUCAACUAUAGCUUUGUCCUCAAGACUACAACAAACAAUAGCAUAGAUAAAAACAUAAUCAUGAAUUCACAAAUAAGAAACAUAAAUGUGAAAAGGUAAUAACAGUUUGAGUCUCAAUUAUGGAUAUGAAUGAAGGAAGUUGUUACCGAGAAGAAGUGUCGAUGAGUUUGAUUGGGAUAGCAUCACAAUAAGGGGGCAAUACAGGAUUCUUAAAGACCCUUGUUCCAGCUUUAUAGCCGGCCGCGACAUGAAUGAGGCUGGAUUUACCGGUUUGACUGUCUCCGGCGACAAAAUACGAACUAUGGGAGGACGACGUCGCUGGAUGGACUUAGAUGAUGAAGCUGUCACUCCCGCCAUCGAUGCACUCAGCAACACGAACAAACAAACCCUAUUCGCAGUGUCAGGUGGUUUCUUGUAAUUUUGGGAAUCUUUUCGUUAAUAUACUGGUAAAAGUAGUUACCAAGACGCUUGACUGUUUAGUCAAAAAAAUGAAAGACGCUUGACUGUUUGAUAGAAUUAAAUAUUUGAUUUUUUCUACUCACACAAAAAUCCAGUUACACCGAAAUUUCAUCAAAAUUUAAUAGUAAUAUCAAUUUUUUUUUUAUCGUAAGUUUGCAUGUCGACAUGGAACGCGCCCUGCCGCAUGUAUAAAUUUUGAAAAAUAGUUUUUCAUCUUUUAAUGCUUCUGUGAUUCACUGUUCUCUCUCAUAAACUCCAUUAAUGAGUCAUUUUUUUAUAAUCAAUGUGUCAUUAAUUUCAAUUAAAGAUUGAAUUUGAAGGUGUAUUUCAUUAAGAGGUAAUUAGUGAGUUUAUACACAUUCAAUUCUAUGGCAUUUUCUAUUUAUUUUUCAUGCGACGACGACAACAACUUGAGGGUUUUUGGUGUGAAUUAACGAGGAAGGAUAUGAAGGCAAGAAUGCGUAAGGUUUUUGGAUUGUAUUGAAAAUUUAAUUUAUUGUAAGGAUAUUUUAGUUGAUCUGGGGUGUAACCAAUUUUUUUUAGUGUGGGUAGAAAAAUUCUAAAUAUUUUAAUAUUUUUACUUUAUGAUUUGUUUGUUUGAAGAGAAAUAAGAAAGAGAUGAAUAGAAGAGAUAAAUAAGAAAGAGACGAUGAUUUCCUCUUGAUUGGAAUGCAGAGAAAUAGGGAAGAGAGAUUACAAAAUCGUGGGACCCACUAUUUUUUUUGUUAAUAAAUCAUGAAUGAGUAUAUGAAGGGUAAAAAUGGAACAACAGAAAAAUUAAGCGACUUCUCGCCCUUUCUUAAUAUAAGGGUGAUCAGAUCAAAUGCAAACGGAGUCAUAAAAUGAACUUCAACAAUAUCAAGUUUCUAGCUACAAUCUGCAACUAAUGUAUUAAUUGAACAUCUGAUAGAACACGAAACUAUAUUAAAAUGCACAUGAAAAUUAAGGUAUUGUAAAAAGAGCGACAUUUAUCUAAUUAUUGAAGCUUAUUAGAGCAAUCACAGUUAACAAAUCAAAGAUUAUAGAUUGCCAAAACAAAUCAAAGAUAAUUAGUAGAACCGAUUCAAACUUCUGCUUUGAAACAGGUAUAGCAAUAUUUACGUAAACGAGGCAUGAUGUCUUAUUUUUUAUAAAUGAGGUAUAGCAAUAUUUUCAAAAUCUUAGUUAUUGGCUUGAAACUUCUAUUCAAAGAUGACAUACAAUAAAUGUGCAAAAAAUGUCACAAAUCCAAAACAUCCAAAUAUACAAAAAGUGAAACAAUAAAAUUAAAACUAGCUUUCAAUCUUCUUAAUCAAAUGUUAAUCUGAAGUCAUAGCAUACAUAUACACAACAUGUAUUAGAUAAAAAUGGUAACCACAUGGGAUAGCAAGAGUGAGGGCGUUGGUUCAAGUCCUUGCUGCAACAUUUAUCCCUUUUCUAUAAAAAUGGCGAAAUAAUUUGACAGCACACGCAGAGUGGUCCAAGCAAAAUGGUGCACAGUGCAUACGAUUGUUUAGAGCUCGUCUCCAAUUUCAACGGCAAGUUCGAAGCAAGCCAAUCGUAUGGUUCAAAGCUUCUACUCGAUUGCUCCGAUGGAUCUCUCCGAAUUUACUCGCUGGAAAUUGAAUCCUGCUCCUCCGAUCAUUCAAAACCUUACUUGCCUGAGAAGAACCUUACUGGUUUCGUGAAGAAGCCUAUUGUUUCAAUGGAAGUUGUUGAAUCCAGAGAGCUCCUUUUAUUAAUCCAUCGCUUUUCAUAGAUUAUCUAGUUUGGAAACUAUAGCAGUUAUCACCAAAGCUAAAUGUGCUAACGUUUUUUGCUGGGAUGAUCGGAGAGGGAUUCUUUGUUUCGCCAGGCAAAAGCGCGUUUGCAUUUUCAGACAUGAUGGUGGUAGGGGAUUUGUGGAGGUGAAAGAGUUUGGUGUACCGGAUGUGGUGAAGUUUAUGAGUUGGUGUGGGGAGAAUAUAUGUUUGGGGAUUAGACGAGAAUAUAUGAUUUUGAAUGCUUCAAAGGGUGCAUUCUCUGAGGUUUUUACUUCUGGGAGACUAGCGCAGCCUUUAGUAGUGCAUCUUCCAUUCGGGGAGUUGCUUCUUGGAAAGGAGAACAUUGGGGUCUUUGUGGAUCAAAAUGGGAAACUUAUUCCUGAAGGCAGGAUUUGUUGGUCAGAGGCGCCCUUGGAUGGAAGUNNNNNNNCCCUUGGAAGUUGUGAUUCAGAAGCCGUAUGCUAUUGCUUUUCUGUCCAGAUUCGUGGAGAUUCGCUCUCUUCGACAACCUUAUCCAUUGAUACAAACUAUUGUUCUACGCAAUGUUCGUCAUCUUUGCCAAAGCAGUAAAUCUAUGAUACUUGCUUUGGAUAAUUCUAUUCAAGGUCUCUUCCCCGUUCCUCUUGGAGCCCAGAUUGUCCAACUAACUGCUUCUGGCAACUUUGAAGAGGCUUUGUCAUUGUGCAAGCUCCGUCCACCUGAAGAGUCAAGUAUACGUGCUGCAAAGGAGGGAUCAUUUCAUAUAAGAUAUGCCCAUUAUAUUUUUGAGAAUGGAAGCUAUGAGGGCUAUGGACCAUUUUCUGGCAUCUCAAGUGGAUAUAACCUAUGUGCUUUCUCUUUAUCCAUCCAUUAUCCUUCCAAAGACAACUAUUGUUCAUGAGCCAGAGAAGUUGGACAUUGAAAGCGAUACUUCCCAUCUCUCCAGAGUUUUGUCAGGUCUUUCAGAUGACGUGGAACCCUCACCAUCUGACGAAACUGCAGCACUUGAAUCCAAAAAAACAAACCAUAAUAUGCUUAUGGCUCUAAUAAAAUAUUUACAAAAGAAGCGAGGUAAUUUUAUUGAGAAGGAAACAAGGGGCGUGGUAAUAUGUCGGUUGGUUCUGGAGCUCGGGAGUUGGCUGCAAUAUUAGAUAGUGCUCUACUCCAUUCUAACUGGACAGUCUUCAGCGGCUUUAGAAUUGCUUAGAGGUGUUAAUUACUGUGAUAUGAAAAUAUGUGAAGAAAUACUUCGGAAAGGUAACCUUAACGUUGCUUUAUUAGAACUUUACAAGUGCAAGUCAUUGCACCGGCAAGCUAUUGAACUUCUUCACAAGUUGGUGGAAGAUCCAAUAGUUCUGGAAUUCUCAAUGUCAGUCUGAAAUCACACAAAGGUUCAAGCCUGAGGACAUCGUUGAAUAUCUCAAGCAACUAACUGAGACAGACCCAAUAGUUCUGGAAUUCUCAAUGCUUGUUCUUGAAAGCUGUCCAUCCCAAACUAUUGAGCUCUUUCUGUCCAGAAUAUACCAGCGGAUAUGGUGAAUUCAUAUUUGAAGCAGCACUCUCCAAACAUGCAAGCUUGGUACUUGGAGCUCAUGCUUGCGAUGAAUGAGAAUGCCAUAUCUGGCAAUCUGCAAAAUGAAAUGGUAAACAUCUACCUAUCUGAAGUACUUGAUUGGCAUGCCGACUUAAAUGCUCAACAAAAUUGGGAACAGAAAACUUUCACCCCAACUAGGAAAAAUUUAUUGUCGGCUUUAGAAGGUAUAUCAGGAUACAAUCCAGAGGUUCUGCUGAAACGUCUUCCUGAAGAUGCUUUAUACGAAGAGCGUGCAUUAUCGUUGGGAAAAUGAACCAACAUGAUCUGGCGUUGUCUCUGUAUGUACAUAAGCUUCAUGUUCCAGAAUUGGCAUUAUCCGAUUGUGAUCGGGUGUACGAGUCUAUGCAUCAGCCAUCUGUAAAAAAUUCAAGCAACAUAUAUGUAUUGCUUCUGCAAAUCUAUUUGAAUCCUCGAAGGACCACAGCAAGCUUUGAAAAGAUAAUUUCACAUCUAUUAUUAUCCCCACCAAGUUCAGCCAUUUCUAGAGUUAGUUCAACAUCUGUAAAAAGUAAAGGAGUCCGAGGAACCCAGAAAAUUGCUGAGAUUGAGGGUGCAGAGGACACAAAAGUUAGUUUGAGCAGCACUGACAGUAGCCGGAGUGAUGGUGAUACUGACGAAUUUAAUGAGGGUGGCUCUACUAUCAUGCUUGAUGAGGUCCUUGAUAGUGACUAGUGUUUUUGCUGUCUACCCUAACGGGAGCACUCUUGUGCACAUCGUCUGUUUUAAAGAUUCUCAGAAUAUGAAAGCAGUGACCAAAGGGUCUCAAUUGAGGAAGCGAUAAUAAUGAAACUGUGGCUAUACGGCUAAUACCAAUUAAUUGAUGAUCCAGCUGCCUUGUUUUCCCAUGGUACUUGCUGGUUGGUGGAUUAUGAUGACAAUUUCACUGUAAUUUGUCUUCUGAAGCUUGUUUCUUUCUAGUUCAUUAGUGUGAAAAAUGAGUUUUGAUAUGUAAAGAGCGCGAUGUGUUUUGUUUGCCUUUGUUUCCCCCCUAAUUUUCAAACUGUGUUGUAUAAUUGUAUCAUUAUCACAAUUUUUCUACAUUGACAUGUAUUAUUCUUGUCACUAUUAAGUGUUGCUUUAAAAUUUUAAAGUUAAAAAAAAUAUACACAAACAUGUAUUGGCUUAUUUCUAAUCAGAAAGUUUGGAUGCUAUCAUAAUUCCGAGACGUGUCAUUCACCACAUUAAAUAUCUAUUUAUCAAACCCAUCCAACAAUUAUGUACAACAAUAUGCAUGUGCAAUUCUGUAUAUGACCAUGCAAAUUAAUAAUAUAAUGAAAAAUACCACAUUUGACUCUUCUAUAGCCAUUGUAAAUGAAUCCUGAUCAUCUUUAUCUGCAACUAUGAGACAGGGCAUCUGAAAGCCAGUGUCUUUUCCAUGACCAGCGAUUUUUAACAAGAGUUCAGAUGAUGCCCACCAUGAAGACUCAUCAGACCUAAAAUGAAUAUUUAGUCAGCUGAGCUCCAUGCAACCGACAUUUUUCUAGGUACUUGGUAUAAUGAAAUUAUAGUUAACUUAGAAACCCAUAGAUGAGUUGUAAAUUUGACAUUAUGAAUACCAUGCAAACACAUAAUGUCUUAUAAAUCUUAUUUUUAAUUUGUUUGAAGCUUCUGUUUGUACUCCUCCCGAGUUCCAAUUUCAAUUAUAAACAAAAAAAAAAGCGUUUAAUGCUAAAAAAUAUAGGUAAAUUUAAUUACUUUCACCCCAGUCAAAAGAUGUAAUCCCUAAUUAAUAUAAUUUAUAUUUUGCAACAACGGUUGUUCUCAUGGAAAAUGUUCCCAUAAGGUGAGAGGAUUGUCUCUUCUUUAUAAACAUAUAUUCAGACCAUCUCGCAAUCGAUGUAGGACUUCUUAAGAGACCACAAAUUCUCGGUUGAUUUUUCAAACAAACAAUUAUAAUCCCUUCGGUCUCUAUUAUACACAAAAGUAUCUUAUUUUACACUAAUUAAGAAAAUUAUUAAAUCUAAUUAUUUUUCUUCAUGUUAUCAACAAAAAAAUUGUAUUUCAUACAUCCCUACAAAACCAAAUUUAUAUGGUGAGGAGUGCCUCCUCUUUAUAAACACUUCUCAAGAAUCCUAUCUAUCCAAUGUGGGACUAAAUUCCACCGAGUGUAACCAAUGAAGACUUUGGUGCAAGAAAAGGUGAAAGAACUGAAAUGUCUUUCUCUGUCACAGUAAGAAGCUAUUGUCAAACGUCAAUCAAGUAUCAAUUACCCUAGAGAUAUCAACAUUAUUUACUGUAUAACGAUCCUCAUUGGUUGGAUUGUAAACUUCAGAAUUUGGCCUGCAUUAUGAAUUUCAACUACAAUAAGAUGAAGCACUGCAAUACAUUUUAUUUUGUUACAGAGAAACUCAUCGUGGUUGUGCGUUUCUAUUUAAUAACAUACCGAAUCACCAUCAAAUUCAUUAAAGAUUGUCACCAAGAAACCAAUUGCUUGAUUUGUCAAUUCAACGCACUGUAGAAAUUAAAUUCAAUGAGAAUAGAAUAAAAUAUGUUCCCUAUUGUCAACAAAUUGAAUACAAACAGGUAUAUAUAGAACAUAAUAUAUGAGGCCACAAUUCAUCUCAAAAGAAACACCUGAUCAGGUGCACUCUAUGAAAACGGCAUGAAGAAACAGAAAUCCUGUCAAAGUAAUAUAUACGUGAAUUGGUAGCUUGCUAUCAGUUUGUUAUCUUGUUACUUUACAUUUCCUUCCACCAUUGCUACACUUGUAAUUGUCCCCUGUUUCAUUAAUACAAUUACAUUUCCCUUUUCCAUACUUAAUUUCUCUGUUAUUUUCAUUAUCUUAUACAAAAGUUAACAUACAAUAACAUGAUGGGAACAAGAUUGUAUUCAAGCUAAAAGGUGUCAGACUAUUAUAAACAAGCCAUCAUUGUGACAUUUAAUAUGAAAAGAAAAAUUAAAACCUGAAAAUCAUUCAGUUCAACAUCGCUAAGAGCACCAUCUCUGUCUCGGUCACAGAGGAUAAGAAUCCGCUUUAAAGCCCGCGCACAUCAAAGUUUUAGAGUUUGUGACUCCUUAUCAAAUAAAGCAGCCAUGGGAUGAAAGGCAGCCUUUUGCGCUAAGAAGAAAACGUCAAAGACCUUCAACAAGGAAAUUUAAUUACAAUUGUGUGAAACAAAAUCCAGAUAUAAUUGUAGCAAUGACCUUUAAAAUAAGAUUUUAAAAAACAGAGGAAUUUGGUAUAAAUAAAAAUAUACGUGGAUACUACUAUAUGCUGAACACUCAAUGUAUGCUUCAAUAUCGCAGAACUGCUGCAUUAGUUGCGAUCACUUAUUCUAGGCUCAUCUGCUGAUUUUCAUCUUGCAGAUCAAGCUUACACCCAACCACUAUAACCGGAACUUUGACCUGUUCGUGAAGUUAAAAUAUCUAUCUAUGUCAAGCAUACAUACAACAGUGGUUCCUUCCAUUGCAAGAAACGGAAAGAUCCGAAUCUGUAAUUGGCGAAGACAAGGGAGCCAAAAAGUGGUUAUAUUUUGAAGUGUCUGAGGCGAUCACAUGCAUAAGUGAGGACAACUGAGUCAGCCUGCUUUAGUUCUUGAUCAACUUUAUCACUGUCCUCAAUACUGCAACAACAAAAUCACAAGAAGAAUAUUCCGAUCAGGGUAAACAUUUCCCUAUGCUAAAGACAUAAGAAUGAAUUCACAUUUCAUUUAUUUUUGGUCGAGUAGCCACUAGAAUGUCACACUUAAGGUGAAUAAGUUAAGUAUCCGGGACGGGGAAUAAGUGACGUGUCCGGGAUUUAAACCCAGACUCUUGCAUAUAUAAUGCAAUAAUGUGAUGUCCCCACUAACUAAGCUAAGUGACAACUCGCAUUUCAUUUCUAAUUAAGCAAAUAAGAAACAUAAAUGUGAAUUAUACAACCGGCUUAAUCUGGAUGUAUCUCAUGAAUAAGCACAUCUAGAUUUAAGUCUUGAAUUUCCAUAAAGAGAUUAACUUCUACCAUCAAUUGUGGAUAUAUUUGUGAGUUUCAUCAAUUAUGCCAUGGUAAUUUGUGUCAAAGUCACCUUCAGUGGCAAGAGCAUGAUGUGUAUUGUGGUUUUGCUUGUAUUCCAAAUGGGGCCCAUAUAUAGUACUGAGCUUCACAUGACAGUGCACAUUUCUUAGUAUGAUGACAGAAACAUGAAUGAAUACGCAAGAAAACAUCAUGGAAAGAUGCAGUCUAAUAUUCCAAUGACAUUCAUAAGAAUUUAUUGACUUAAGAAUAUAUGCGUAUGUAAGCAGCAGUGCAACACUUUGACAAAAAUUGGAUCCAUAUAAAAGGGAACAAGAAACUGAUGUUGCAAGAUAAUCAAUACCUUACCAGAAAACAUGUUGUUCAACUUUCCAAAAGUUUCCUUUAUACAUGCAUCUCACUGCACCCAACCACAUCUGUGUGGCAUUCUUCUGACUGUUGAUGGUAGCAUAUGGGACUAAAAGAAGAGAAUAAGGAUUCAUCUUUUUGCUAGUCUUUGGAUUAGAAAGUUCGGUUUCUAGUUGAGUACAAGAGACUAAGGCAAAUAUGAUUAAAAUAUGCUCCACACCACCAAUGGGCAUUGUCAACUUUUGACAGUUAAACAAUGAGUCCCCUAUCGCAGCAAGUUCAGCUUGAUGUUGAGUUAAUUUGAAGAACUCGCGUGCAACAGCAGUCACACUAGUGUUGUGAUUAACACAAUGAUUACCUCUUGGUAAUGAUUGAAGUGAUGUGUUUAAGGUAGGAUCAGACUUUGUUAAUGACACAAACUUGGUGCACAAAAACAUCACUAUAUCACUUUCUUCACUAGCAAACAGUGGAAAAAUAGCAAUACCAAUAUCUUGGAUCUCUUCCGCGAUACGAAACGUACCACCUUUGCCACCUUUGAGAAGUGUGUUAGCAGGGAUUGAAGGUCUGGAAAUGAAGUAAGAAUGACUCUUGUCAUCAACACUAACGAUAAUAAACACACGACCAAGAUCCUGCAAUUCAACAAUGUUGGCCCCAACUUUCAUGUAAUUAGUGGAAGAUGCAGCACAAACAUCAAUUUGAAGCUGGGUGGUGAAGUUNNNNNNNNNNNNNNNNNNNNNNNNNNNNNNNNNNNNNNNNNNAAAUGUAUAUGAGAUAUAUCCGCCAUUAACAAUCACAGGGAGAUCUCUGUUGACUGACUGUUGCAGCAAGUAUCAGAUCCAUUGCUUCAGUGAAAUUAUGAAUAAUCUUCACAAAAUCUAUGCAAGUUCGGUGGGGAUUUUCAACGAACAUGUGUUGGGCAACAGAAAAAAACCCAGCUCGGAAAUAAUUAUUAGGUUCACGUGUGCCACAAUCAGAAAAUCCAUGAUCACAUAGUAAUUUGAAACUCGAUGCAACAACACAACUAUAUCUGAUACAACCAAUGGAUUUGAAACAGACUUAAUGACUGAAUCAACUUCCGAAUUUGGACCCAAAGUAUAUGAAAGCUCCCCAAGCAUUCCAAAUGAUCUCUCGUUGAUCCUGCAUAACUAGACAUGGCAAUGGGGCGGGGGCGGAUUUUGCCCUCGCCAAACCCAAACCCAUAAAGUUCGGGUUUCCCCAAACCCUUGCCAACCAUUCCUUUAAGUUAAAGUUACUGAGUUAGUUAUAUUGUAUGAGUGCAGUUUUCUCAGCCAUAUCAGGAUUAGAGCUUUCAAUGUCCAAGGAGCAUCAUACUUGUAAGUUUUAUUGCCAAUAGUAAUUUAUCUCUCUUUUUCUCAGUUCGGCGGCAGUGUUUCUUUAUAUUUUUGUUGGAAUGUUUGUGAGGAAACUGUUUAAAGGAUGAAACAUGAUGUUGAAUUUUUCUCUGCACGUUUAAGGUGUGACAUAUAUUUGUGUCCUUGAAAGUUUAAUUUCACAUGAUCACAUGUGAUGUAUUCCCACACUCUGAGCUGCAUACAUGUACUGUAUGUAUGCUUUAGGCAUAUAACUUAAAUAACAAGUGCAAUGUGUUUGAUUGGGCAGUGACAUGAUGAGCUGGAACUUUGAAGUUUGAACUGUUGGAGUUUUCAUUAAUGGUCGUUCUUAAUCUCAAAAGGUGUCAUUAAUUAGUUGAAGCAAGGGUUAUAGGGCUAAUGUCAUUUCAAAAGAUGUUUUUAAGAUCAAUUCUGCUGCAAAAAGGUGCUAUGUUGUUGCUAACCGGAUAUUGAUGAGAAACAACAAAACACUACUUAUCAAAUAAUGCUAAAAUUAUGAGUGGAUAUUUGUUGAGUAUGGCUCAAGUUACUGAUAAGUGGGUUGUUGUUAUGAAAUAUGGCAUUGUUCAUUGUUUGCGUUUUUUGCUUCUUUAUCCUUUUAUGCGACGUUUUUGUCAAUUCAACAUUGUACUAUUUUAUUUGUCGAGGACACAAGGAGGAAUCACUUGAAAAAUUGACUUCUUUUAACAUGCAGACCCAUCUCAAAAUUUUAUACUUUUGACAAAUUAGAAUUUGGUUCUUGAAUAAUGAACUUAUGAGAAAGAAUUAAAGAAGCCAAAAGAAGUGUUGCCGUCCUAUUAUUCCUUAAUUUUUUUCGUCCAUUCUAUGUCUUUUUUUUACUUUUAUCUGCAAUUCAAAUUUUGACGCCACUCUGCUUUAUCUGAAAGAUGUGUGGCACAUUCCUCACUGACAUUGCUUUCGAAACUUGUUACUGACAGAUGUAGAAGUUCCAGCUGCAUGCAUCAUAUUGUUAGGCUUGUUUGCGCUUCAACAUUUCGGCACGCAUAGGGUUGGCUUCUUAUUUGCUCCGGUAGUUAUUGCGUGGCUAUUUUGCAUCAGUGCCAUUGGAAUAUAUAAUAUAUUCUUCUGGAACCCUCAGAUAUACCGUUCACUUUGUCCAAUUUAUGCCUUACAAUUUAUUCGGAAAACUCAAACUGGAGGUUGGAUGUCCCUUGGUGGAGUUUUGCUGUCCAUAACAGGUCUGUAUGUUUGGUUGAUGGUAACUUAUAUUUUAUGCCGUUAUUCUCACCAUUUCUUUUUCACAUAUACAGGAUCAGAAGCCAUGUUUGCUGAUCUUGGGUACUUAUCGCAAUUAUCAAUCCAGGUAUACUAUUUCAAAUUUGGUUUGUUUAAUAGAGUAUAAUCAAAUGUAGCUGAUAUUCCAUAUAGCAAUCUGUUUGGAUUUGUUAUGUCUUGCAAUUUCAAUCUGUUUGAAUUUGUUAUCUCAACUGGAUCACUCCAAAAGUUGUAAUGUAUCUACCUUGAUAUGAUAAGUGUUAACAUCGCUUCUAAUAUUAGUUUAAGGCCCUAUUUGGAGAACCAUCUUAAUAAAGUGCUCAUAGCAUAAACACUUGUCAUAUACUGGUAACUAGUAAGUACUUAUAUUUAGACUCUUUCUAUUAUAACAAAGAAAAAAUAAAGAUCAAAACAACUUAUGAGCAUGUCAUAAGCUGUUUCUACAAGCUCUCCCAAAUAGUCUCACAAGUGCUUAUGCCAGUAGAUAAGCUCAAAUAAGUCAUUCCAAAUAGGAUCACAGUCAUAGUUAAAUAGCUUUUGGAAAUGCUUAUUUAGUUAACAUCUCUUUUGCAGAUUGCUUUUACUUCUGUGGUUUAUCCAUCUUUAAUUCUUCCAUAUAUGGGACAAGCUGCUUAUCUAUCAAGACAUCAUGAAAUUGAGCAUGCGUAUCACUUCGGAUUUUAUGUAUCUGUUCCAGGUAGGUGUUGCAUAACUAAUUCAUUUUUAGGUAGGAUGUAGGUAAUGAAGGGUUUCUCGUCUCAGCUAAUUGACGGUUUUCACGCUUUUGCUUUCCAGAAAAAUUGAGAUGGCCUGUUCUUGUAUUAGCCGUAUUUGCUGCAGUUGUGGAAAGCCAAGGCAUAAUAACUGGAACGUUCUCUAUUAUCAAGCAAUGUUCUGCAUUAAAUUGCUUCCCAAGAGUUAAAGUCAUUCAUACAUCAUCCAAGAUUCAUGGACAAAUAUAUAUUCCUGAGAUCAAUUGGCUAUUGAUGCUCUUGUGUUUGGAUGUUACGAUUGGCUUCAGAAACACGCAGCACCUCGGUCACGCCUCAGGUAUAUGACAAUGAUUUCAAACUACACACAGACACAUUAGUUUUGUAUCAAUAUGAUAAGGAACUAGCAGACUCAAGAGGAUGCAUUUUUCAUAUUAAUUAGCAUGGCUUUUAUGUACUUCAGCAUGUAAUUGGUGAUAUAUUUGAGUUGGGAUAUCAUAGCUGACCUAAUGCUCUUUGCUCAACAGGUUUGGCAGUUAUCACAGUGAUGCUGGUCACCACUUGUUUUAUGUCUCGGUUAUUGUACUAUGCUAGCAUCAGAAUGUUCUCUUUGCGCUCGCAUUUGUUCUCUUCUUCGGUAACCUUGAGUCUCUCUUCUUCUCGGCUUCUCUUACCAAGUUCUUACAAGGAGCAUGGGUGCCAAUUGCAUUGGCGUUUGUAUUUAUGACGGUCAUGUAUGUUUGGCAUUACAGAACACUCAAAAAGUACGAAUUCGAUGUUCAAAACAAGGUUUCCAUCAACUGGCUACUCGGCAUUGCUCCAAGCAUAGGUAUUGUACGAGUGCGUGGUGUCAGACUUAUACAUACAUACCUAGUAUCAGGCAUUCCUGUUAUCUUCUCCCACUUUGUGACCAACUUGCCAGCCUUCCAUCAGAUCCUAGUCUUUCUUUGCAUCAAACACGUGCCGGUUCCGCACGUCAGACCCGAGGAAAGGUUUCUAGUCGGCCGUGUCGGUCCGCGGAAUUUCAGAAUUUAUCGGUGCAUAGUCCGGUAUGGUUACCGCGAUAUCCACAAAGACGAUAUUGAGUUUUAAAAUGACCUUUUAUGCAGCA
rnacentral:lncRNA from 1 species